rnacentral:rRNA from 1 species
GCGGGGGCACGGGGGGCCUACGGGAGGCAGCAGUCGGGAAUUUUGGGCAAUGGGCGAAAGCCUGACCCAGCAACGCCGCGUGAAGGAUGAAAUCCCUCGGGAUGUAAACUUCGCAAGAUUGGGAAGAAUUAGUAGGGGUUAAUACCCCCUAUGAUGACGGUACCUUUUGUAAAGCUCCGCCUAACUCCGUGCCA